rnacentral:lncRNA from 1 species
GGGGGGGGAGGGGGUAGUAUGGAAGGGGCCAAGCCUUUGAUCACCAAGUCAACAUCAACUUCCAUAUGACCAAAAUGUGUCGACCAUGUUAUGAACAAAAGUGAUCAGCAGAACAUCAUAUAUCAUCUCGUGGGCUUACUUUCUGCCAUUUGACCCUGAAAAGGAACUCAUAUGUUUGAGAAUCAUAGAAAUACGAUUUUUUUUUCAAAUUUGUGAGUUGUCUACAAUGAGUAGUUGCUAGGAUAUCUGCACAUAACUCUAGAAAAAAUCAUGCCUACAUUUACUACGUGUUCUUGAUUCAUCUGUAGUCCAUUUAAGUACUAAAUGCUCUCAGUUCAUCUAUCUACAGGCCACUAAACUAUUCGGACCUAGCAUAAAUAUUCACAGACCUAGUAUUAAUAUUCACAUCCAUUAGUAUAAGCAAGAACAAUAGAUUCUCAGUGAUUGUGAUCACCAACAGACUGAGAGUACAACAUGCCAUUUUGCCCUCAUUAUCCUUUAUUCCAAGGAAAUAUCAUUUGAUUUUUUUCCUUUUCUAGUACAACUAUGUGGCUAUCGUAACAUGUAACUUCAAAAAUUCAUGUUAAUAAAUUCUGGAUGUGUGAAUAUUGCCUAACAAGAGCAAAAAUCAUCGCCUCAUACAUGACAGCUAGGUAAAUUAGACAGUGAUAGAUGGUUGCCUUCAAUAGAAAAUUAGAGGGGUCGAUCCCACUUGCCUACCAUAUACGUUUCUGCCCUUCUGCUUCCUAAUAUCCUAGGUACAAAGCAGCCAAGCAAACAUCAACUUCCAUAUGACAAAAUGUGUCAACCAUAUUUUGAACAAGAGCGAUCACGAGAACAUCUUGCAUCAACUUUUGAAUUUGCUACUUUUUACCAUGUCCCUGCAAAAGAACUAAUAUGUUUCAGCCAUCUUAGAAAUAGUAGAAUUUUUCAAAUCUGUG